GAUGAACGCUGGCGGCGUGCCUAAUACAUGCAAGUCGAGCGAAUGGAUUAAGAGCUUGCCCUUAUGAAGUUAGCGGCGGACGGGUGAGUAACACGUGGGUAACCUGCCCAUAAGACUGGGAUAACUCCGGGAAAUCGGGGCUAAUACCGGACAACAUUUUGAACCGCAUGGUCCGAAAUUGAAAGGCGGCUUCGGCUGUCACUUAUUGAUGGACCCGCGUCGCAUUAGCUCGUUGGUGAGGUAACGGCUCACCAAGGCAACGAUGCGUAGCCGACCUGAGAAGGUGAUCGGCCACACUGGGACUGAGACACGGCCCAGACUCCUACGGGAGGCAGCAGUAGGGAAUCUUCCGCAAUGGGCGAAAGUCUGACGGAGCAACGCCGCGUGAGUGAUGAAGGCUUUCGGGUCGUAAAACUCUGUUGUUAGGGAAGAACAAGUGCUAGUUGAAUAAGCUGGCACCUUGACGGUACCUAACCAAAAAGCCACGGCUAACUACGUGCCAGCCGCCGCCGUAA
rnacentral:rRNA from 1 species